rnacentral:rRNA from 1 species
UACGGAGGGUGCAAGCGUUAUCCGGAUUCACUGGGUUUAAAGGGUGCGUAGGAGGGCAGGUAAGUCAGUGGUGAAAUCUCCGAGCUUAACUUGGAAACUGCCGUUGAUACUAUCUAUCUUGAAUAUUGUGGAGGUGAGCGGAAUAUGUCAUGUAGCGGUGAAAUGCUUAGAUAUGACAUAGAACACCAAUUGCGAAGGCAGCUUACUACGGAUGUAUUGACACUGAGGCACGAAAGCGUGGGGAUCAAACAGG